GGUUGUAGCUCAGAGGUAGAGCGCUUGCCCCGCAUGUAUGAGGCCCUGGGUUCGGUCCCUCGCACCA
rnacentral:tRNA from 1 species